rnacentral:rRNA from 1 species
AAGGGCGCGUAGGCGGCGGCCCAAGUCAGGCGUGAAAUUCCUGGGCUCAACCUGGGGAC